CUUAUCUCUCCCAAUGCUCAUUCAGUGUCUCCUUUUCUAAUGAUACCUCCACCAUUCGUCCUGUCUCGGUUGGAGUCCCCCAAGGCUCUGUCCUUAGUCCCCUUCUAUUUUCUCUUUACAUUGCCUCUCUUGGCAAACUUAUUACCUCUUUUGGAUUCCAAAACCACCUGUACGCUGAUGACACCCAGAUAUAUCUCUCCUCCCCGGACCUCUCCCCUGAUGUUCUGCAACGUGUCACCUCUUGCCUUUCUUCUAUUUCUGAUUGGAUGUCCUCCCGCUUUCUGAAACUGAAUCUUUUCAAAACAGAACUUCUUGUCUUUCUUCCUCCUAAUAUUAAUCCUCCUCUCUCGCUCUCCCUUCAGAUUGGUGGUACCCAUAUCAGUCCAUCCUUACA